GAUCAUUUUGUUCUGAAACCCCUGCCAUUGUCAGAGAUUCAUUCCAAUAGACCAGACCACUCAAAGUCGCGCCCAUCUGAGCACUAUUUAGAGCCAAACUGCUCUGCUGGGUGGGGGAAACCUGGCUAUAUGCUGACCACACUGGAUAUCCUGCAAAGCUUUUCUCAAAAAACACCCCUUCUAUCUCUCCUCAUAUUAUAUCCUUACAGGACAGCUUUUGCUUGGAUCAGAGAAGAGCAGAAUGGGUUGAGUCCAGGCUUAGAGUGAAGGUUAGUGCAUCCAUUACUAUUAGCUCACCAGGCCUCACUUGUGCACUCAUAUGUCUUUCUCAAAUACAACUUCCAAGGAUAUGUCCUUAAGGAAAAACAGUAGCCAAGUCCAUCUGGAGAUGCUGGAUAGGCAACAUAACACCUUCAGUUCCCUUGCUUCACAUCUACGUGCCUGCUCACUGGGAUUCACUAGACUAUAUUUCAGCUUGAGUCUCACUCUGAUUUCCUGGCAAAAUGCUGUUGUUGUUCCAGCAUCACUCUCCGAGGGACCUCUCCUAACUGCUCCACCUCUGUUCAAGUCAUUAGCUGGAAACUUGGACUCGAGCCUAUAAAUGUGUGACCCUCCCUGCCAUUGACUGCUACCCUCCAAGUGAGAGAUCCAAAAGCAUGAAAAGGAGAACGUGACUGUGAGAACAUUGUGGGAAUGGUGGGAGUUCAGGAAGUGCUAUAUUCCUGUAAAGAAAAGUCUGCACUCAUGGGGAAAACUGAGCACAACAAAGCAUGGCUCAGCUCCAGAAAGGUCUUGAAAAACCCAGCAGAAAACCUUCUUUUUCAUGCUAAACCCUUCCUUGUUGGUUUUAACCAACCUUGAUAACAAAAUAAAAACAAAAGAAAGCAAAUUCUC